UACUUGUGUAGAGGAGCGAUCACUAUAAGUAUUUUUUCUGAGUGGAUAACGAAGAGGAAAAAGGAAAGGAGUGACCGCCGAAAUCAAUUGAAAGUCAUUUUGAUUGGUUGGUGGCGUAUUCGAAAGGAACGUCAUUGUCAUAGUCUUUUUUAAACUAUGGAGCGCUACUGGUUGG
rnacentral:ncRNA from 19 species